GAGUGAGGGAGGAUAUACUUAAUGCGCAUAAAAAUGCAUUUUUAUUUCAUGCAGUCAACAGGAACCACCAUUCCGUGGCUUCCUCCUCCAGGCUGAAUGGGAUACUUCUGCAAAGGUGGAAACAACAGACAGGACAAAGUUACAUUUGAAUGGACCAAGGAUUCUUCUGAACAACAACAGAUUGUGAAGCCCAGCCCAGAACUAGAGACAUCUCACAAGUCAUCAGUUAGGAAUUUCAAGUCACUGCUGGCUGUUUCCUCUGUUAGCAUAAAUAAAGGCAAAUGCAAAAAUGAA